GAUGAAGAACGCAGCAAAACGCGAUAAGUAAUGUGAAUUGCAGAAUUCAGUGAAUCAUCGAAUCUUUGAACGCACAUUGCGCCCGCUGGUAUUCCGGCGGGCAUGCCUGUUCGAGCGUCAUUUCAACCCUCAAGCCCCCGGGUUUGGUGUUGGGGAUCGGCUCUGCCCUUCUGGGCGGUGCCGCCCCCGAAAUACAUUGGCGGUCUCGCUGCAGCCUCCAUUGCGUAGUAGCUAACACCUCGCAACUGGAACGCGGCGCGGCCAUGCCGUAAAACCCCAACUUCUGAAUGUUGACCUCGGAUCAGGUAGGAAUACCCGCUGAACUUAAGCAUAUCAAUAAGCGGAGGA
rnacentral:misc_RNA from 1 species